rnacentral:rRNA from 1 species
UGAGGAAUAUUGCGCAAUGGGGGAAACCCUGACGCAGCAACGCCGCGUGGGUGAAGAAGGCCUUCGGGUUGUAAAGCCCUGUCAGGUGGGAAGAACCCUUGAAAGUCGAAUAGGCUUUCAAACUGACGGUACCACCGGAGGAAGCACCGGCUAACUCCGUGCCAGCAGCCGCGGUAAGACGGAGGGUGCAAGCGUUGUUCGGAAUCACUGGGCGUAAAGCGCGUGUAGGCGGUCCGGCAAGUCGGAUGUGAAAGCCCGGGGCCCAACCUCGGAAGUGCAUUCGAAACUGUCGGGCUAGAGUACGGGAGAGGGAAGUGGAAUUCCUGGUGUAGAGGUGAAAUUCGUAGAUAUCAGGAGGAACACCAAUGACGAAGGCGGCUUCCUGGACCGAUACUGACGCUGAGACGCGAAAGCGUGGGGAGCAAACA